UCAGGUCCGACAUAGUAAGCGGUAAACAGCCGCCGAACUCAGUACCUUUAUGGAAGGAUGACUGGUACCCUGCCUUUAGGCUAAAACACUCCUUUGAUGUAGUCGCUCGGACGCUGCUUGCAUGGCACGGUUUACGCGGACCGUGUUUCAUGGGCGGUACUACUAUGCAGUUACCUUUUUCGCGUGAGAUUCAGCAUUACUGUACGAAGGGGACAAUUUUUAUUUUAUGACA
rnacentral:sRNA from 12 species